UAAAUUUAUGUAUAAUUUUUUAUCAGUAAUAUAACAAUAUAAGUACACAAUAAAGUACAUGGUCAAAAGGUAUACUGAAACAUAUUAUGAUUGUGAUCAAUUAUCCAAAUUAACCAAACAAAAAAAAAAAAACUUCACCACCCGUUCAGCACCCGUUCACGAGUUGACGCGUGAGUCAGCCAUCGCGAAGCUCAACCACAAUAGAGGGAACCUCCCGACCCGAUCCACGAUCCAAUCAGCCAAUCAGAUCAUGCAUACUUAUCUAGCGGUUAAUUUGUCAAUCUGUCAAAUUACAAUAUUAUAUUUUAGAGGGCCUGAACUUAUAGAAUAAUUGUACGAUUUAAGGCAUGGAUUAUUUAUAUAUAUAUAUAUACUAUAUAAACUAUACAUAGUUACUGGUGUCUAACGCAUAACCUUCCAAAGGCGCAUAAGGUACAUAGAGACUAACAUCUUUUGUUCUCUUCUGUGACUUUUGUCUGAACGUAAUAAAUACGAAAAUUUCCCCUAUUUUUUAGGUUUAAAGUCGUUUCUAUAAAACGUUAACUCUAUGUUCGAUUCCGCUACACAACGCUAUUCUACUGUCUCGUGUUGCUCGGCUACCACAUAGAGUUAACAUGUGUAGAAUCGCAAAUUGGAUUGUAUUUUUUUUUUUAGAUGAAAAAUAAAAACUACGGAUCACGAAAAGUCGUAGAAUAAAAGUUGCUUGUUUUGUUGUACCCGAGUAGUCUUUGGGAGGUUUUGCGUUUGAUACCAGUAACCCUGAAUAUAUAUGCUAUGCUAAUAUAUAUAGAACCACAGUAUAGAACAAUAGAAUGGGACAAAACAAUAAAUAGUAUUAUUUAUUAUAUUAUAAUUGCAUACUACAUUGUAGAUAAAUUUAAGUGAUAAUUGAAAGUAAUAGAGCAUCCAAUGUAAUGCACACUGCGUAAUUUAUAUAAGUGCUUUUAUUUACCGCAAUGAAAAACCAGCAAUGUAUAUAACAUCCGCCAAUUUUGGCAGAAAAUCGCGUACUAGACGGGAUUUUUAUUAAUGGAAUACAACAAAUUUAAAAAAAAUACUUUGAGGGUGUUCUGAAUUCAUGUUAGAUGACGUGAAAAAACUAGCAUUCUCAUAUUAUAUAAAUAUGUACUUUCUAUAUUUCAGUAGAUUAAAAAAUAUAUAUUCAAAACCUUAUUUUUAUAUGUUGAUGAUAAUAACAUGUUCUCAAAUGGCGAAAGU